rnacentral:rRNA from 1 species
CGCGUAGGCGGCCCAGUAAGUCCGCUCUGAAAGUCAGGGGCUCAACCCCUGGAUGCGGGUGGAUACUGCUGGGCUAGAGUCCGGAAGAGGCGAGUGGAAUUCCUGGUGUAGCGGUGAAAUGCGCAGAUAUCAGGAGGAACACCGAUGGCGAAGGCAGCUCGCUGGGACGGUACUGACGCUGAGGCGCGAAAGCGUGGGGAGCAAACA